AAAAAGAUAAGCUAAAUAAGCUUUUGGGUUCAUACCCCAAAUAUAAAGACCCCCCCUUUUCUUUUUA
rnacentral:tRNA from 1 species